rnacentral:rRNA from 2 species
UGGGGGAUAUUGCACAAUGGAGGAAACUCUGAUGCAGCAAUGCCGCGUGAAGGAAGACGGUUUUCGGAUUGUAAACUUCUAUCAGCAGGGAAGAAAAUGACGGUACCUGACUAAGAAGCCCCGGCUAACUAUGUGCCAGCAGCCGCGGUAAUACAUAGGGGGCAAGCGUUAUCCGGAAUGACUGGGUGUAAAGGGUGCGUAGGCGGCAAGGUAAGUCUGAUGUGAAAGACUGGGGCUCAACUCCAGAGGUGCAUUGGAAACUAUUUUGCUAGAGUACAGGAGAGGAAAGCGGAAUUCCUAGUGUAGCGGUGAAAUGCGUAGAUAUUAGGAGGAACACCGGUGGCGAAGGCGGCUUUCUGGACUGAAACUGACGCUGAGGCACGAAAGCGUGGGGAGCAAACA